rnacentral:rRNA from 1 species
CCUACGGGCGGCAGCAGUGAGGAAUAUUGGUCAAUGGGCGGGAGCCUGAACCAGCCAAGCCGCGUGAGGGAAGAAGGUACAGCGUAUCGUAAACCUCUUUUGUCAGGGAACAAAGGCGGGGACUAGUCCCCGGAUGAGGGUACCUGAAGAAAAAGCAUCGGCUAACUCCGUGCCAGCAGCCGCGGUAAUACGGGGGAUGCGAGGGUUAUCCGGAUUGAUUGGGGUAAAGGGGUGGGCAGUGGGCCUGUUAAGUCAGCGGUAAAAGCCCGUGGUUAAACCCCGGAGAGCGGUUGAAACUGGCGGGCUGGAGUUGGAGAGAGGUACGCGGAAUGCGCGGUGUAGCGGUGAAAUGCUUAGAUAUCGCGCAGAACCCCGAUUGCGAAGGCAGAGUACCGGAUCCACACUGACGCUGAGGCACGAAAGCGUGGGUAGCGAACAGGAUUAGAUACCCUUGUAGUC